UCUUCCUCUCAACUAAGAUUUUCUAGCUUCUUUAGUGUAUACAACUGGUUUAUCUUACUUUGGCAUUAGACUUUUGUUAUAGGAAUGUUUUUCUAAUGCUAAUGCUAAAUGGGAAAAAUUUAAAAGAAUAGCCCCUUUUUUGGCACUUUUAUUUUUUUAUUUGGCACAUUUUGGCACUUUUUUAUCCUCAAUAUGGCACCUAAUAGCCAAGGAUAGUUGACAGCCCUGGUUACAAGAUUUCUGCUGAGUUUU